UUCACUUCCUGCUAAACCUCAGGCUCUGGCCGGGCCUUGGGAAACCCCGGUGCACGGCCCAGCCAGCAGCGCAGACUGUGUGCAGAAGCCCUCAGUGUCCAGGUCCCCGGCCCUGGGAACGCGACACCGAGAGACAGCCUGCCCCCCGUGGGUCAAGCCAACCCCAGGUGUCAGCCUGGCCCCGGGGGACUGGACACCUGCUCUGCAGCCGUUUGGCUAACGGUGUGGAGGAGCCGCUGGGCGUGGAGGUCACAGACAACCGCUCUUCUGUUCCCGGGGCUUGUGAGCGGAGGCGCCGUCCUCACCGUGGAUCCGACCACGGGCCCUGUGCCCUCACACUGCCUGCCUGUCUUGUCCGGAGACCCCUGCACCCAACCUGGAAACUGCAGUCCUGCGCCGUUUUCCACAUGGGAAGAUGGAGGCUCCUCUGGGCCUCUGAGCAGACGAGGGCACGGCUCCUCUCCUCCGCCCUCCACUCCCCCACUCUCGGGUGGGGCACUGGAGGAGGAGUGUGCAUUCACUCGAUUGUGCCAGCUGGACCAUUUGCAGGUGUAUCGGUAGAAUGUGCCCUCAAGCGCCUUCCUGCUCGGGUUCAAAUCUCGGCUUUCCCACCUGGCUGUGCAGCUCUGGGCAAGAUAUUAACCCCUCUGAGCCUUAACAGUCUCAGCUCCUUAAUCACGGGUUUGACACUGUUAAUGGGGUUAAUAUAUGCAAAACGCAGAAAAGUCGUGAGACGAGGGCCAGGGGAUUUUCCUCGCCCACCUGGGGCCCAGAGUCUGUCCUACUCCAGAGUUGGGUCAGCCAGGCUCCUGGCUCUUGUCCGGAGAGAAAUAAAGUUGGCAAUGAAUUCUUCCAGAAGGAACAAAAGCAUCUGGGAGGCUCGAAAAUACA